AGGAGAGCAAAAAAAAAAAAAAAAAGAAGGAAACCCUCCUUCUUCAACCUCACGUAUAAUUCAGCCAUUGCCUCCCGCCUUCACUGCUCCGCCAGCCGCCGCACCACCGCGACAGUGACCCACGACCACCACUACCGCGCAAACCGUGACCCAGGCCACGACCACCGCGCACAGCCGCCGUUUCCAACCCUGCCGCGAGCCAUCACCGUCCGCCGGCCAGCUCCCUUCUCCCCCUCUUGAAUUGGUAGAGAAUUCUCUUUAGACGACUUUUGAAAGUGUUAAAGUGGCCUAUCAGUUUGUUUACACAAGUCUCUAAGGAUCAAUAAGCAUUGUCCAUCUGCAGGUUUGAAGAUGUUGCAUCAUUGGGAUCGGGAAUAGAGAGCUUGUAUUUAGUUUUGAUUUGCUAAGUUAACUUGGGUUUGUUAAUUGGGACUUUAAACUUGUCGUACUAUUUAUAUUUCCUUAUUUUCGUUGGUUGAUUUUUGGGGACUAAAUCUGUAAUCGAUUAUUUAUAAACCUAAAGUUAGUUUUAUGUUUUCCGCUGCAAAAUUCUGAAUAAGCCGUUACGUUUUCACA